GAGGCCUUGGCUUAAAAUUAAAGUGUUUGAGUUGCAAUCAGAAGAUGUAUAAUUUAUACAGGCCUUC
rnacentral:tRNA from 1 species